rnacentral:lncRNA from 1 species
AGCAUAGUUUAAAGUUCCUUUCAGGAAGAUAUUAUUCAAUUUUUCUAAACCUCUUCUCACAGUUACUGUGUAUUUUCAUUCCUUAGAUCAUUGACAGACAUUCAAAAUCUGUCUAGUAUCUCCUAUGAACCAGAUGGCUUUUUUAAGGAAACCUCAUGUGAAACACCCAAAGUAAGCCACACACCUACUAGUGUCAGCACUCCGCUCGGCCCAGAUUUGCUAUUUUCCUCCUGCUUAUAAAAGUAAAGAACACUCAUCAGAGAAAAUCUGGAGGCUCAAGAAAGGCUUAAAAAGAAAAGUGUGUGGUGGCACACACCUGUGAUCCCAGCACUCAGGAGGCUGAGGCAGAAGGAUUGCCACAAGCUUGAGGCCAAUGUGGACUACGUAGUGAGUUCAAGGUCAGCCUGAACUACACAGUGAGACUCUGUCUCAAAACAAAACAAAACAAAAAAAGAAAAUUAGCCUGACCAUUUUUUACCUUAUGCAUAUUUUGAUGCUUAUUUUUUCAUGGUUUUGGAACUAUAUAAAAAUAUUUAUCGUAGUUGUUACCAUAUUGA